UACGUAGGGAGCAAGCGUUGUCCGGAUUUACUGGGUGUAAAGGGUGCGUAGGCGGCUUUUUAAGUCGGGCGUGAAAGCUGUGGGCUUAACCCACAAAUUGCGUUCGAAACUGGAAGGCUUGAGUGAAGUAGAGGUAGGCGGAAUUCCCGGUGUAGCGGUGAAAUGCGUAGAGAUCGGGAGGAACACCAGUGGCGAAGGCGGCCUACUGGGCUUUAACUGACGCUGAGGCACGAAAGCAUGGGUAGCAAAC
rnacentral:rRNA from 1 species